AGCCCGGAUAGCUCAGUCGGUAGAGCAU
rnacentral:piRNA from 8 species